rnacentral:rRNA from 1 species
GACGAACGCUGGCGGCGGGCUUAACACAUGCAAGUCGAACGGAAACGUCCGGCUUUUGUGCGGUGCUCGAGGGGCGAACGGGUGAGUAACACUUGAGUAACCUGCCCCUGACUUUGGCAUAACUUCAGGCCACUGGGGCUCAUACCGGAUAGGAGCUCUUGCCGUUUGGUGGGGGCUGGAAAGUUUCGGCGGUUGGGGAUGGACUCGCGGCUUAUCUGCUUGUUGGUUGGGUAGUGGCUUACCAAGGCCUUGACGGGUAGCCGGCCUGAGAGGGUGACCGGCACAGUUGCACCGGGGAUACGGCACGGACCAGUACGGGAGGCAGGGCAGUGGUAGAUAGCAUGAUGCGAGGAAGCAUGGUGCAGCAACGCCGCGCCCGGGGUGGCAGCCUGCUUUUAGGAGGGCAUAAUCGUCUGAGAGGGAGCGUGAGUGACGGUAACGGGUGAAGAAGCACCGGCUAACUACGUG